rnacentral:rRNA from 1 species
ACGACUGCUAAUACCGCAUACGUCCUACGGGAGAAAGCAGGGGAUCUUCGGACCUUGCGCUAUCGGAUGAGCCCAUGUCGGAUUAGCUUGUUGGUGAGGUAAUGGCUCACCAAGGCGACGAUCCGUAGCUGGUCUGAGAGGAUGAUCAGCCACACUGGGACUGAGACACGGCCCAGACUCCUACGGGAGGCAGCAGUGGGGAAUAUUGGACAAUGGGCGAAAGCCUGAUCCAGCCAUGCCGCGUGUGUGAAGAAGGCCUUCGGGUUGUAAAGCACUUUCAGCGAGGAAGAACGCCUUGGGAUUAAUACUCUCGAGGAAAGACAUCACUCGCAGAAGAAGCACCGGCUAACUCCGUGCCAGCAGCCGCGGUAAUACGGAGGGUGCAAGCGUUAAUCGGAAUUACUGGGCGUAAAGCGCGCGUAGGUGGCUAAGUCAGCCAGGUGUGAAAGCCCCGGGCUCAACCUGGGAACGGCAUCUGGAACUGCUUGGCUAGAGUGCAGGAGAGGAAGGUAGAAUUCCCGGUGUAGCGGUGAAAUGCGUAGAGAUCGGNGAGGAAUACCAGNUGGCGAAGGCGGCCUUCUGGACUGACACUGACACUGAGGUGCGAAAGCGUGGGUAGCAAACAGGUAUUAGAUACCCUGGNUAGUCCACGCCCNUAAACGAUGAAUGUUAGUCGUCGGGUAGCUAGUCUAUUCGGUGAUGCAGCUAACGCAUUAAACAUUCCGCCUGGGGAGUACGGUCGCAAGAUUAAAACUCAAAGGAAUAGACGGGGACCCNGCACNAAGUGGUGGAGCAUGUGGUUUAAUUCGAAGAUACGCGAAGAACCUUACCUAGCCUUGACAUAUUAAAGAACANCUUUNAGAGAUANGAGUGGUGCCUUCGGGAGCNUUUUNAUANCNAGGUGCUGCACGGCUGUCNGUNCAGCUCGUGNUCGUGAGANUGUUNGGGNUUAAGUCCCGCAACGAGCGCAACCNCUCNNGUCACUNAGUUNACNUAACNGGUUCNGGCCGAGGACUCUAGUGAGACUGCCUUCGCAAGGAGGAGGAAGGUGAGGACGACGUCAAGUCAUCAUGGCCCUUACGGCUAGGGCAACACACGUGCUACAAUGGCCAGGACAAUGAGAAGCGAUACCGCGAGGUGGAGCAAAUCUAUAAACCUGGUCUCAGUUCGGAUAGCAGUCUGCAACUCGACUGCUUGAAGCUGGAAUCACUAGUAAUCGUAGAUCAGCUAUGCUACGGUGAAUACGUUCCCGGGUCUUGUACUCACCGCCCGUCACACCAUGGGAGUUGAUUUCACCCGAAGCGGGGAAGCUAAACUGGCUACCCUCCACG